GGAAUAUUGGACAAUGGGCGAAAGCCUGAUCCAGCCAUGCCGCGUGUGUGAAGAAGGUCUUCGGAUUGUAAAGCACUUUAAGUUGGGAGGAAGGGCAGUUACCUAAUACGUGAUUGUUUUGACGUUACCGACAGAAUAAGCACCGGCUAACUCUGUGCCAGCAGCCGCGGUAAUACAGAGGGUGCAAGCGUUAAUCGGAAUUACUGGGCGUAAAGCGCGCGUAGGUGGUUUGUUAAGUUGGAUGUGAAAUCCCCGGGCUCAACCUGGGAACUGCAUUCAAAACUGACUGACUAGAGUAUGGUAGAGGGUGGUGGAAUUUCCUGUGUAGCGGUGAAAUGCGUAGAUAUAGGAAGGAACACCAGUGGCGAAGGCGACCACCUGGACUGAUACUGACACUGAGGUGCGAAAGCGUGGGGAGCAAACAGGAUUAGAUACCCCUG
rnacentral:rRNA from 1 species